rnacentral:lncRNA from 12 species
ACCUAGCAGUUAUCUGGAUCUCCAUUAGUAACUCAGCCACUUUCCUGUCUCUUCACCAUCUCAUCUUUCCAGCACUGUGACCCAAACUGGGACAGCAGCCCAGUUCUUUGGAUAUCAAACUGGGAAGGAGCACCAAAACCAAGCCCUGAUAUUUUUUCCAGGAGCCCAAGAACCUCAAGGCUCUCUCAAACAGGUUCUUUAAACAGAAGGCAAACUGCUACCAUUUGGGGCUGAAUACUGGAGGUAAGCAAUCAGAACACACAAGCUAGGAACAGGAAAUUGUUACAGAAAUGGAAAAUUUUGGGUACUGAACUUUCACCAUCGGUUCCUGCAAGAUUUUUACUAAUAAAGAACUAUAUAA